rnacentral:rRNA from 1 species
UGUGGGACCCAUAGGUGGACCUCUGGCUAGUACUUGGAUGGGUGACCGCCUGGGAAUCCCAGGUGCCGUAG